GAUGAAGAACGUAGCGAAAUGCGAUAAGUAAUGCGAAUUGCAGAAUCCGUGAGUCAUCGAAUCUUUGAACGCACAUUGCGCCCCUUGGUUAUUCCGAAGGGCAUGCCUGUUCGAGCGUCAUUAUCACCCCUCAAGCCCUGGCUUGGUGUUGGACUUUAGUUAUAGCUUUGCCUAUCAACUAGUCUCAAAGAUAGUGACGGCGCCCCAGAGGGAACCGGGUACGAGGAGCUUUUUACUAAGCAUGUAUCUGGGACGACUCUGAUGGGCGACGGUCUUGUUAUACUUUUUACCUAGGUGUUGACCUCGGAUCAGGUAGGAAUACCCGCUGAACUUAAGCAUAUCAAUAAGCGGAGGA
rnacentral:misc_RNA from 1 species